rnacentral:rRNA from 1 species
GAUGAACGCUAGCUACAGGCUUAACACAUGCAAGUCGAGGGGUAACAAGAGAAAAGCUUGCUUUUCUUGUUGACGACCGGCGCACGGGUGAGUAACGCGUAUCCAACCUGCCUAUAACUAGGGAAUAACCUUGCGAAAGUAAGACUAAUGCCCUAUGACUUCCUUUGGCGGCAUCAAAAAAGGAAAAAAGAUUUAUCGGUUAUAGAUGGGGAUGCGUCUGAUUAGCUUGUUGGCGGGGUAACGGCCCACCAAGGCAACGAUCAGUAGGGGUUCUGAGAGGAAGGUCCCCCACAUUGGAACUGGGACACGGUCCAAACUCCUACGGGAGGCAGCAGUGAGGAAUAUUGGUCAAUGGGCGGAAGCCUGAACCAGCCAAGUAGCGUGCAGGAUGACGGCCCUAUGGGUUGUAAACUGCUUUUAUACAGGGAUAAAGUUAGCCACGUGUGGUUAUUUGCAGGUACUGUAUGAAUAAGGACCGGCUAAUUCCGUGCCAGCCGCCGCGGUAA